UACGUAGGGUGCAAGCGUUAAUCGGAAUUACUGGGCGUAAAGCGUGCGCAGGCGGCUUUGCAAGACAGAUGUGAAAUCCCCGGGCUUAACCUGGGAACUGCAUUUGUGACUGCAUGGCUGGAGUGCGGCAGAGGGGGAUGGAAUUCCGCGUGUAGCAGUGAAAUGCGUAGAUAUGCGGAGGAACACCGAUGGCGAAGGCGGCCCGCUGGGCAGUGGCUGACGCUGAGGCGCGACAGCGUGGGGAGCAAACAGG
rnacentral:rRNA from 1 species